UACGGGGGGGGCAAGCGUUGUUCGGAAUUACUGGGCGUAAAGGGCGCGUAGGCGGCGCGGUAAGUCACUUGUGAAAUCUCUGAGCUUAACUCAGAACGGCCAAGUGAUACUGCAGUGCUAGAGUGCAGAAAGGGCAAUCGGAAUUCUUGGUGUAGCGGUGAAAUGCGUAGAUAUCAAGAGGAACACCUGAGGCGAAGGCGGGUUGCUAGGCUGACACUGACGCUGAGGCGCGAAAGCCAGGGGAGCAAACGGG
rnacentral:rRNA from 1 species